AAAAAUUUCUAUAUGAAAUGAGAGUGUUAGAGAAUUAAUGCAUAAAUUAUAUUUACUGUUCUUUUAAAGAUUUUUCAUUGUCUUUGAAUUAAUCAAUUAGUUUGUUGUUAAUGGGUUUAUAGCUCCAUACUUUUAGGAGAACAAUUAGAGAUUAUGCAUAUAUAUGAAUGGAGCAUUUUUCUCUGAUUGUUUGUUUCAAAUUGUUUAUUUAAGGUUGAUUCAUAGUUGAAUAAAUGUAUGCUUUAGAGGCCACAUUUUCUGCAUAUAAAGUGUGACAAAAGUCCCCAUAGUCUUUAUUUUCCAGUAGUCCCAUUUUUUUCUAUUAUUUUAUUCUAAGAGCCUGGAGAAGAAGAAAACCUAAUGUCAGUCAUUUACUAGUUUUUAGAAGCAUGACCUAAGCUCAAGUUUCUCAUAAAGAAUGAUUCAAGUUGAAUGAUUGAAAUGUUAAAUAUAUUUUUCUAGGAUAUGAUCCACAUUUCAAAGGCU
rnacentral:lncRNA from 1 species